rnacentral:rRNA from 1 species
CGGAGGUGGCAAGCGUUACUCGGAAUUAUUGGGUGUAAAGGGCAAGUAGGUGGCUUAGUAAGUGAGAGGUGAAAUACUCCGGCUCAAUCGGAGAACUGCCUUUCAUACUGCUUUGCUUGAGGAUGGUAGGGGGUAAGGGAAUUCCCGGUGUAAGGGUGAAAUCUGUAGAUAUCGGGAAGAACACCAGCGGCGAAGGCGCUUACCUGGACCAUUCCUGACACUGAAUUGCGAAAGCUAGGGGAGCAAACAGAAUUAGAUACUCUGGUAGUCCUAGCCGUAAACGAUGAGCACUAGGUGUUGGCUCCGUUAGGAGUCAGUGCCGCAGCUAACGCAUUAAGUGCUCCACCUGAGGACUACGGUCGCAAGGCUA